rnacentral:rRNA from 1 species
GACGAACGCUGGCGGCGUGCUUAACACAUGCAAGUCGAACGGAAAGGCCCUGCUUUUGUGGGGUGCUCGAGUGGCGAACGGGUGAGUAACACGUGAGUAACCUGCCCUUGAUUUUGGGAUAACUUCAGGAAACUGGGGCUAAUACCGGAUAGGAGCUCCUGCUGCAUGGUGGGGGUUGGAAAGUUUCGGCGGUUGGGGAUGGACUCGCGGCUUAUCAGCUUGUUGGUGGGGUAGUGGAUUACCAAGGCUUUGACGGGUAGCCGGCCUGAGAGGGUGACCGGCCACAUUAGGACUGAGAUGCGGCCCAGACUCCUACGGGAGGCAGCAGUGGGGAAUAUUACACAAUGGGCGGAAGCCUGAUGCAGCAACGCCGCGUGCGGGAUGACGUCCUUCGGGUUGUAAACCGCUUUCGCCUGUGACGAAGCGUGAGUGACGGUAAUGAGUAAAGAAGCACCGGCUAACUACGUG